rnacentral:rRNA from 1 species
GAAGUUUUCGGAUGGAAUUUGGAAUGACUGAGCGGCGGACGGGUGAGUAACGCGUGGGUAACCUGCCUCAUACAGGGGGAUAACAGUUAGAAAUGACUGCUAAUACCGCAUAAGCACACAGUACCGCAUGGUACAGUGUGAAAAACUCCGGUGGUAUGAGAUGGACCCGCGUCUGAUUAGCUGGUUGGCGGGGUAACGGCCCACCAAGGCGACGAUCAGUAGCCGACCUGAGAGGGUGACCGGCCACAUUGGGACUGAGACACGGCCCAAACUCCUACGGGAGGCAGCAGUGGGGAAUAUUGCACAAUGGGGGAAACCCUGAUGCAGCAACGCCGCGUGAGUGAAGAAGUAUUUCGGUAUGUAAAGCUCUAUCAGCAGGGAAGAAAGUGACGGUACCUGACUAAGAAGCCCCGGCUAACUACGUGCCAGCAGCCGCGGUAAUACGUAGGGGGCAAGCGUUAUCCGGAUUUACUGGGUGUAAAGGGAGCGUAGACGGCACAGCAAGUCUGAAGUGAAAUCCCCGGGCUCAACCCGGGAACUGCUUUGGAAACUGUUGGGCUGGAGUGCUGGAGAGGCAAGCGGAAUUCCUAGUGUAGCGGUGAAAUGCGUAGAUAUUAGGAGGAACACCAGUGGCGAAGGCGGCUUGCUGGAC